GGAUUGCUUGAGAAUGCAGUCCAAAGUUCGUGGUAAACUCCAUGAGAGGCUAAAUACCUGGCACGAGUCCGAUAGCAAACAAGUACCGUGAGGGAAAGUUGAAAAGUACUCUGAAGAGAGAGUAAAUAGUACGUGAAACCACAUACAGGUAAACGGGUGGAGUCCAGCUGCGUGUUGUGGGGACUUAGCUGGUGUGUGCAUAUGCAGAUGCAUUAAACUUUCACGUGUGGCUUGCUUAUAAUGGCAAAUUAGGCUCACGCCUAAUUCACGUUCCGUCAUGUAGACGGUGUDGGCUGCGCGUGGUAUCUGUUUGCAUGCCGGUGAUUUCCUCAUGACUGACAUCACAGUCAAUACAGCCGCUUGUGUGUGAUGAUCAAACCGUAGUGUAGUGGGCCUUGAAGUUCACUCACUUUGUGGAUGGCASGUCGUUUGACUAUYUGCCUUGUGUAAAUGGUUCAAACAUAAUUAUGGUUGCGGCCAGCCGAUCAUCAUGCUGUYAAAAGCUUGCUUACAUUUAACUAUGCGGUGUAUUGGUUAUGAGUGUGCCAACCAAAUGGCGUUGCUAUCAGACUGGCUUACGGGAAGUUAUGUGUAAAAGCGUGCUUGUCGUAYAGCUAUAGUGUGUGUAGUGAUGUUGUGAGGUCACG
rnacentral:rRNA from 1 species